rnacentral:rRNA from 1 species
CACGUAGGGUGCGAGCGUUGUCCGGAAUUAUUGGGCGUAAAGAGCUCGUAGGCGGUGUGUCGCGUCGGCCGUGAAAACCUGCAGCUCAACUGUGGGCUUGCGGUCGAUACGGGCAUCGCUGGAGUUCGGCAGGGGAGACUGGAAUUCCUGGUGUAGCGGUGAAAUGCGCAGAUAUCAGGAGGAACACCGGUGGCGAAGGCGGGUCUCUGGGCCGAUACUGACGCUGAGGAGCGAAAGCGUGGGGAGCAAACAGG